UCAGGACGAACGCUGGCGGCGGGCUAACACAUGCAAGUCGAACGAGAAUCCCGAGCUUGCUUGGGAGGAAAGUGGCGCACGGGUGAGUAACGCGUAGGCAAUCUGCCCCCAACUGAGGAAUAACCCAUCGAAAGGUGGGCUAAUACCACAUAACGACGGACGACCGCAUGGUCGACCGUCCAAAGUUCAGGCGGUUGGGGAUGAGCCUGCGUCGGAUUAGCUAGUUGGCGGGGUAAUGGCCCACCAAGGCGACGAUCCGUAGCGGGUCUGAGAGGAUGAUCCGCCACACUGGCACUGAGACACGGGCCAGACUCCUACGGGAGGCAGCAGUGAGGAAUAUUGCGCAAUGGAGGAAACUCUGACGCAGCCAACCGCCGCGUGCAGGAAGACACCCCUCAGGGGCGUAAACUGCUUUUAUACGGGAAGAACACCUGGUUCUGCCAGGUCUGACGGUACCGUACGAAUAAGGACCGGCUAACUCCGUGCCAGCAGCUGC
rnacentral:rRNA from 1 species